CUCAGGGGAAAAUUUACCUUCACACUCACGCAGCCGUCCACCUUCUCCAGCUCACCAAGUAAGGCUGACAGUAAGGAGGACUUUCCUGCACCCACCUGGCCAACCACAGCAAGCAAGGAGCCUUGGGGCAUGGAACUAGAGGAGUGUUGAAAGAGAUCCAGAGGCACAGCUGGCAAUUCAAGUAAUUUGUUCUUCCAAUCUGUUCUUGGAUGUUUUAAGGAGGACAUCUUGUGGCUGGCCUAACCCAGGAAACAAUUUCUUCAGAGGAUUCCUCUUUCCUCACUGGCCACAAGUCAUCCACCCCCAAGGACUGCUGACAGCCUUUCCAGAGGAGCCUGGAGAACACACAGACUGCUGUAACGCAAGCAC